CGUCAAGCAGACUAGUGUUGCUUUUGGCUGGAGGUCCACGAAUCUCGCUGGAAGUGUGAUCGAGUGAUAAAAAGAAGAGUGCGCGUUCAAGAAGUCUGACCGAUAGCGUGAUAAGCCCCUGAGGGCAUGUGCUUGAGCUGCGGUACUGUGUAAGAACAGCCGUCUCGCCACAGUGGGCAGUAAGAGCUGAGUCGAACAUUGUGGAAAAACGAACUACGAGCGGAUGAGGAAACUACUAACUGUUUUACGGAGGAUUGCAAUGCGGCGUUUUGAGUAGACGCACUGAACACUGAGAUCGGCCUUCUCUUCUAUUCUACUGCUAAAUUUUCCAUCAUGGCUGACCAAGCUGUGGUGUGGUUGUGGAGUGCGAUGGGGACAUCCUGCCGACGGAAGC